AACGCACAUUGCGCCCGCCGGCAUCCCGGCGGGCAUGCCUGUCCGAGCGUCAUUUCCAACCCUCAGGCCCUGCCUGGUGCUGGAGGCCUGCGCGCUGCCGCCGCCUCCCAAAGCCAGCGGCGGGCGUGCCGCGGCCCCGGGCGUAGUAUGCUCUGCGCUCGCCCCGGGCAGCCCGGCGCGCUCCCUGCCGUAAAACACAGACACCCGUCUCAUGCGGUUGACCUCGGAUCAGGUAGGAAUACCCGCUGAACUUAA
rnacentral:misc_RNA from 1 species